rnacentral:lncRNA from 1 species
CCCCCCUCCUAUGAUGAGGUGAUUAGAGAGAAGAGACAGGAACAGGAUCAAGUGUUGCCUCUCUCCUCCUCUUCCUUCUCCUCACCCUUAUGCUCCGUCUCCACGACUACCAUCGCCACGCAGACUGACACCGGACCAAAAUCCUCAGUUCCAACUCGCAGUCACGCCCCAGUCCAGAGAGGCUCAGUGGGUAAGAGAGGGAGAGGUUGACAGCACACAGUCUAUUAAUCAGUUCUUAGAUUUCUGUUUUGGGAUGUGUAGUUCUAGAAUAGUUCAGUGUUGAGAGGCUGUUUUGGGAUGUGUAGUUCUAGAAUAGUUCAGUUGUUGAGCGGCUGUUUUGGGAUGUGUAGUUCUAGAAUAGUUCAGUGUUGAGCGGCUGUUUUGGGAUGUGUAGUUUUAGAUUAGUUCAGUGUUGAGCGGCUGUUUUGGGAUGUGUAGUUUUAGAUUAGUUCAGUGUUGAGCGGCUGUUUUGGGAUGUGUAGUUUUAGAUUCGUUUUAGAUUAGAUUAGUUCAAUGUUUGAGCGGCUGUUUUGGGAUGUGUAGUUUUAGAUUAGUUCAGUGUUGAGCGGCUGUUUUGGGAUGUGUAGUUUUAGAUUCGUUUUAGAUUAGAUUAGUUCAAUGUUUGAGCGGCUGUUUUGGGAUGUGUAGUUUUAGAUUAGUUCAGUAUUAGUUCAAUGUUUGAGCGGCUGUUUUGGGAUGUGUAGUUUUAGAUUAGUUUUAGAUUAGAUUAGUUCAGUGUUUGAGAG